rnacentral:rRNA from 1 species
UACGUAGGGUGCAAGCGUUAAUCGGAAUUACUGGGCGUAAAGCGUGCGCAGGCGGUUAUAUAAGACAGUUGUGAAAUCCCCCGGGCUCAACCUGGGAACUGCAUUUGUGACUGUAUAGCUAGAGUACGGUAGAGGGGGGAUGGAAUUCCGCGUGUAGCAGUGAAAAUGCGUAGAUAUGCGGAGGAACACCGAUGGCGAAGGCAAUCCCCUGGACCUGUACUGACGCUCAUGCACGAAAGCGUGGGGAGCAAACAGG